ensembl:snRNA U6 U6 spliceosomal RNA
GGGCUCCCACCAGCAGCACAUUCCCUAAAAAUUGGAACAACACAGAGAGGAUUAGCAUGGCCCCUGUGUAAGCAUGACAUGCAAAUUCAUAAAGCUUUCCAUAUUUCA